rnacentral:rRNA from 1 species
UACGUAGGGUGCAAGCGUUGUCCGGAAUUUAUUGGGCGUAAAGGGCUCGUAGGCGGUCCAUCACGUCGGGAGUGAAAGCUGGGGCUUAACCCCAGUCCCUGCUUCCGAUACGGGUGGACUAGAGGUAGGCAGGGGAGAACGGAAUCCUGGUGUAGCGGUGAAUGCGCAGAUAGUCGGGAGGAACACCGGUGGCGAAGGCGGUUCUCUGGGCCUGUACUGACGCUGAGGAGCGGAAAGCGUGGGGAGCGAACAGG